rnacentral:misc_RNA from 1 species
AAGUCGUAACAAGGUCUCCGUUGGUGAACCAGCGGAGGGAUCAUUACAGAGUAACUUAUACUCCCAACCCUAUGUGAAUCAUACCUAGUUGCCUCGGCGGGGAAAGGCCUACCUACCCUGGCCCUACCCGCCGGUGGACAUUCAAACUCUUGUUAUAUACUGUACUCUGAGUAACUAAACAUAAUAAGUUAAAACUUUCAACAACGGAUCUCUUGGUUCUG